UGGGGAAUUUUGGACAAUGGGCGAAAGCCUGAUCCAGCAAUGCCGCGUGUGUGAAGAAGGCCUUCGGGUUGUAAAGCACUUUUGUCCGGAAAGAAAUCCUUGGCUCUAAUACAGUCGGGGGAUGACGGUACCGGAAGAAUAAGCACCGGCUAACUACGUGCCAGCAGCCGCGGUAAUACGUAGGGUGCAAGCGUUAAUCGGAAUUACUGGGCGUAAAGCGUGCGCAGGCGGUUUGCUAAGACCGAUGUGAAAUCCCCGGGCUCAACCUGGGAACUGCAUUGGUGACUGGCAGGCUAGAGUAUGGCAGAGGGGGGUAGAAUUCCACGUGUAGCAGUGAAGUGCGUAGAGAUGUGGAGGAAUACCGAUGGCGAAGGCAGCCCCCUGGGCCAAUACUGACGCUCAUGCACGAAAAGCGUGGGGAGCAAAACAGGAUUAGAUACCCUGGUAGUCCACGCCCUAAAACGAUGUCAACUAGUUGUUGGGGAUUCAUUUCCUUAGUAACGUAGCUAACGCGUAGAAG
rnacentral:rRNA from 1 species